UUUUAUUGUUUCGACUUUACAUUCUGAAAUUCCCUAACAUUUAAAACAUUUAAGUAUCAUUUCAGUUCUCGAUCCACGUUUUAUCUAAAGAUAGAAAAAUAGCUGAUGCUCCUAGUAUCGAAGCUACAUUCUCAUAGAUUCAAGAUAUGCAUAGCCCAUAAAUAAAUAAUAUUUUCAUAUAAAUUUUCCAUUUCUGGAUGGAUCUAUAAAAACAAGGGCCAGUCAUCUUUAUUGGCCUAGACAAUCUAGUUAGGUAAAGUUAACUUAUCGGCCGAAACGUUAAGAAUGUCAAGUUCCAGGCGUUGCUCAGUUCCGCAAAAUAUGUUAUCAGCGAAUGUCAAAAUGAUAAGAGAGAAGUCUAUGGGUAACUUUUAGUUAUAUAUUAAGAGCAAGCUGCAUAGUUGACCAAAGCGGAAAUUGGCUAUUAGCCGGGCCCAGCUGUUGGCGUGUUAACGAACCGAGUCAUGCCUAGGGCCAGUGUUGGGCAACAUCAAUACACGCAGACAAAGAUCAACAAACAAUAUGAAAUGACAGACAAACAAGUUGAGGCGCACAGGGCCAUGGCACAGGGGCCGCAGCUAGGGCGGGGCUGGGCUGAUCAAUGGCUGUUCAUUCAAUUUAGUGUGCAAAGCGUAAACUGAUUGUGAUCGACGGACUGGACAGCGAGAUGCAGACCGUGCGGUGCAGUGAACUUUCAGCAAGAAAAGGCCAACAAACGCAACAUGGCCAGGAGAGAGGGAGAGAAAGAGGCAGAGAAAAAGAGAGAGACGCGCGGGCAGCAGCAGAGACACGCAUAUGGUCAACAAUGUAUUGAGCGGCGUGCAGGGAGUCCAACUAAUAACAAACAACCGGCUUUUUACAUGUGGUAAGAGCGGUUGCAGGGGAUCGGAGCUCAAACUGCGGCUAACUUUUGUUUACUUUGUGCUGCGAGUGCAGGCAACAAUUUUCGUUGCAGCCACAAAACUUGUUGCCCCGCGUUGCUGUUGUUGUUGUUGUUGUUGUGGGGCAUGCGCAUAAGUCACUACACAAAUUGCGCAAAUUCCACACUCACACACAGACACACACACACACACACAUAGCCAUCUGUUGUCAGUUUGCAACACUGGCCCCGAUCGUCAUCGGCUCUGAGGUGAAGGCCGCCGCAUCGUUGCUGCAUAAUUGCAGCCAACUCUCCUCCAAAAAGACUCUCCAACGAGUUGGCCAUAACGAAUUCACAAUAAUGCGCAUUUUAUUAGAUUUUUCUUGUGUUUUUUUUUUUUUUCAUUUUUCUUUGUGCCGCGCGCUCUGCUCUCACUCUGAGUGCAUUUUCCGCUUCAACACGAUUUUCAUUUAAGUUUCCCAAAGCGUUGCCCUUUGGGUCUUGUGUCUGUGUGUUUUCCAGGAAGGAAAUGUGUGAGCGUGUGGUUUUUUGUUUUUUUUUGCAUAGCUUGUGGUGCUUGACGUGUGAGAGAUUGUGGCAUUGGCUUAGGGUUGUCAGGUUUCCUUUCUUAUACCAAAUGCCCUGAGACAUUUGUGAAAUUGCAUUUGAAAAGUGCACACAUGCAGGUAAAGGAAUGGAUUUCACAAAGACAACCGAGAGAAACAAAUAACUAAAAAUCAAUAAGGAAUGCUUAAGAGGAAAACUUUGAAGUAUAGUUCAUAUUGUUUUGGAAUAGUUCUUAUUUUCGAGAUGCUGAAGAUCAUAUUAUGAGAAAACGAUGAAACCUGUGCCUAUUCGGAGGACUACGUCCACCUUACGUCUACCUAUGUGACGCUGCAGCCUUCUUCAAAAAAGCCGCCUUUCAAGCAGGCUUGUCAAAAUAUCACCUAGGUAAACUGUGUUUUAAUAAAAAUGUAUGCUACUUUUUACUCAAUACAAUAAACAAUUAUAAAAAAAAA